rnacentral:tRNA from 1 species
ACUGCGGUAGUUUAAUGGUAGAAUAAGCGGUUGUGGUCCGCUUGGCGCGAGUUCGAUUCUCGCCCGCGGUC